rfam:Gossypium arboreum cultivar AKA8401 contig_75422_1, whole genome shotgun sequence.
AACCCAUGGUGAAUGAACCUUCUCAAAAGCUCCUUAAAUCUCUCUCAUGCAUCAUAUAAUGUUUCCAAAUCAAUUUGAGAAAAUGAAGAGAUGUCGUUCAUCAACUU